AUUAUUUUAAGAUUAUUUUUUAUUGUUGAAAAAAUUAAAAAUAAAUUGUUUUUAACAAAAAUUAAAAUUUAUAAUAUUUCAUUUUUUGGUUUUUUGUUUUAAAUUAAAAUAAUAAAUAUGGGGGAAAAAAAAAUUUUGUUAUAAAUUAUAUUAGUUUAUUUUAAUUAAAAAUAUUUUUUAUUAAAUUUGUUUUUUUUAUUUUUUUAUAAAAAAUAUUAAUUUAAUUAUUAUUAUUGAGUUUAAUUUAGUUAUUUUUAAAAAAAUUUUGUAUAAAAUAAAUUUGAUAAUAAAUGUUUUUUAAAUUCUUUGGGGGUUUAGUUUAUGAUUUUUUGUUUCUGCUCAUUGUUAAAUAAAAGCACUUUUAGCGUGAUGGCCAAAAGGUAAA
rnacentral:rRNA from 1 species